AGCAGUAGCCGCGGUAAUACGAAGGGUGCAAGCGUUAAUCGGAAUUACUGGGCGUAAAGCGUGCGUAGGCGGUUUGUUAAGUCUGUUGUGAAAUCCCCGGGCUCAACCUGGGAAUGGCAAUGGAUACUGGCAAGCUAGAGUGUGUCAGAGGAUGGUGGAAUUCCCGGUGUAGCGGUGAAAUGCGUAGAGAUCGGGAGGAACAUCAGUGGCGAAGGCGGCCAUCUGGGACAACACUGACGCUGAGGCACGAAAGCGUGGGGAGCAAACAGGAUUAGAUACCCCUGUAGUCCCUGUCUCUUAUAC
rnacentral:rRNA from 1 species